ensembl:lncRNA
AGGGGGGGGGGAAACGGGGGGUGUUGGUUUAUUUAUGGCGCUUUGUUCUGCGGCGCUGCUGUUGGGGAUGCGGUGGUGCAGGGAGAGACUUCAGCUUGGAGGGGAGGGUUUGGGGGUGGGGAUGUCCGAAAUGCUGGGGGUGAGCGGCUCCUGGGGGGGGUUCCACGUGGGAUAACAGCAAAAGCAAAGGGCCGGGCCGGGCUGGGCCAGCAGUGAGGCCAAAACGCACCGCUGUGCGCCCCGAAAUCCGCUGCUGGGUGUGCAAAGCGUUGGCGGUGCGUCUUUGCAGAGGGGCAGCUCCCACCACGGCCGUCCAAUUCCGCCUCUUUGGCAGUGGAUUCCCCGGGGUGCACUGCAUCUGUGCGCAGCCACGCCGUGUGUGCGUUGCACAGAGACACCGGCCCUUGGCGUGCUGCUGUGUGUGCAAGGGCGGGCGGUGACGUGCAAUGGUCUGCAAGGACGUGCAAAGGUGUGCAAGGGUGUGUGAUUUGCAAGGAGGUGAGAAGGUAUGCAAGGAUGUGUGAGGGCAGACAACGGUGUGCAGUGGUGUGCAAAGGUGAGCAGGGGUGAGUAGGGGUUUGCAAGGAUGUGCAAAGGUGUGCAAGGGUGUGUGAUGUGCAAGGAGGUGCGAAGGUAUGCAAGGAUGUGUGAGGGUAGACAACGGUGUGCAAUGGUGUGCAAAGGAGAGUAGGGGUUUGCAAGGAUGUGCAAAGGUGUGCAAGGAUGGGUGAGGGCAGACAGCAGUGUGUAAUGGUGUGCAAAGGUGAGUAAGGAUAUGGGAUGCAGGAUAUGGGAUGUCGGAUAUGGAGUUCAGGAUAUGGGAUGCAGGAUAUGGGAUGC